rnacentral:tRNA from 1 species
UUUCGGUAGGUCUAGAGGUUAAAGCGUCUGCCUGGAAUGCAGGAGACCCGGGUUCAAUCCCUGGGUUGGGAA